GUCGGGUUUUCUCCCGUAAUCACUUUUGUUUCUCUUCCUCCUCCAAAGCUCGAUCUCUCCAUCUUCUCCAUUGAUUCUCUGUCGAUAUCCUUCGCUGUCCAUUCUUUGUCGAUUCCGAAGCCAAUCGGCACUCGAUUCGCUGUUUUCGUCAAUGCGGUGUCGAUGUCGUUUCCUCCCAUGCGUUGAUGCUCUGAUGAAGAUCAGAAGACAGAAGGAAGUUCUUCACAUGAAUCAGCUUCAAGAGAAACAUCGAGGAAAGGAUGAAAGUUAUACAAGAGGCGAGAUAAGUGCGAACACCCCUUUCUCUUCUCUGUAGAAAAACUGUCUGUAAAAAUUAAUGUCGAUGAUGAUUUUGCAUGAUGAUCUUGAGGAAGGUGAAAUAUUUUACUAGUAGAUUAUCGUGUGUUUGUUGGAAAAAAUCGAAUCUUUUGCAUAGAAACCGAGUUAGUGUUGGUUGAUUUUAACAAGUUAUGAUGAUGAUCUUGGGUUCCUCGGUUGAUACACAUGAGUUUUUAUAUAUAUCUCUGAAACAUAUAGCAACAUGUUUAUUAAAUGGAUGUAUGUAUGCCGGUUUCUUCUUCCAGCAGAGCUUAUUGCUAUGAACGAUGUAGCAGCUUACUUCGUUGGUUUCUAUUUUGAGAAGACUCCUUUGAUAAAAUUGUCUCCUAAGAAAACAUGGGAAGGUUUCAUUGGAGCAUCAGUGGCAACUACAAUCUAUGUGUUUCUUGUGGAAGACAAUUAGAAAGACAAUUAAACAUCUCUGGAGCUAAGGCUGAAGCCUAUACUGAGACUUGUGUAUUUUGUUGCUCUGUUUGGCUCGUGCUUCUGCAGGUCAUGUUGUGCAAGUUGUGUUCCCAUGUCAUGUAAUGAAGAAGACAAGAAGAAAUGCUCAUGUUCUGUUUUUUUCCUCUUCCUGCCUGAACGUAAAAGAACAUGUUUUUCCUUGUCUUUAUUGACUGUAUCAUGUGACUUGCAAGUUAUAAAGCAACAUGUGUUUCCUUGUCUUUAUAAGUUCAAAAUUUGUAUGUUGUAAAGCAAGCGAGUUUGAGUUGUGUUUCAAGAACCCUUUUGAGAUGUGUUUCCUUUGUUUA